GAUCCUGGCUCAGGACGAACGCUGGCGGCGCGCCUAACACAUGCAAGUCGAACGAGCGAGAGAGAGCUUGCUUUCUCGAGCGAGUGGCGAACGGGUGAGUAACGCGUGAGGAACCUGCCUCAAAGAGGGGGACAACAGUUGGAAACGACUGCUAAUACCGCAUAAGCCCACGGCUCGGCAUCGAGCAGAGGGAAAAGGAGUGAUCCGCUUUGAGAUGGCCUCGCGUCCGAUUAG
rnacentral:rRNA from 1 species